UCAGGGUACAAGGAAGAACAAACCUAUGUGCAUUUUGUAAGAAGAAAAAUGUGAAUGGAAAGGAAAAAAGAGAAAGAGGGGAAAAAACCUGGAUAAUACAUUAAUCAUUAUUUUGGAGAUCCAGUCCUCCUUAUUGACACACACUGCGUACUAGUGAUACUGAACUUGGAUUUUUGCUCUAUUAGAUGCGUCUCAGUCUUUUGAGCCUUUGCUGUUUUAAAGUUAGAGAAGCAUGGAUCCUGGAAUACUGCCGGGCUAUGGUUAAAUACAGAUAUUUUUCAACUUUGUUUUUCUACCUUGCCUGUGGAGUAUUGUGGAAAUAAAAAUCCUUGCAGAAAAGCUAGAGAUCCUGCUCUUUGGCAUAUUAAUAUUUAUUAUUUUAUUGUAUUUCUGCCUACCAGAUUUCCUAAUGGUAGCAAUUUCCCAUUGACUCGAGCUACAGGACAGUGUGGACACCUAACAAAUAGGUUUCUCAAUUUCCUCUGGCAUAAUUGCACUUUGCGAAGAAGCAUAGAAAACUACAAAUAGAGUGGUGGAAAACGCCUGUAUCAAAAAAAGGGACCGCAGUUAAAAGCUAGGGCUAGGACUUGGAGGAUGUGUAGGCAAUCGGAAGGAGAGCCGGGGGAAGAAAAACCGAGAUGGAUUCAUUCUCUGUCCUGGAUGGAGGAGGAGAAGAGAGGCGAGGAGCAGGGGACGAGGCAGCUCCCUCCGACGGGCGCUGUCCGGCGCGAAGUGGUCGCCCCCGCGGGGCUGCGCGCGGCUCGGGCGGACUCGCGCGGAUCCUGCCAAUCACACCGCCCGUCCCCGACAAC